AGAGUUUGAUCCUGGCUCAGGACGAACGCUGGCGGCGCGCCUAACACAUGCAAGUCGAACGAGAGAUGAGGAGCUUGCUCUUCAAAUCGAGUGGCGAACGGGUGAGUAACGCGUGAGGAACCUGCCUCAAAGAGGGGGACAACAGUUGGAAACGACUGCUAAUACCGCAUAAGCCCACGGCUCGGCAUCGAGCAGAGGGAAAAGGAGUGAUCCGCUUUGAGAUGGCCUCGCGUCCGAUUAGCUGGUUGGUGAGGUAACGGCCCACCAAGGCGACGAUCGGUAGCCGGACUGAGAGGGUGAACGGCCACAUUGGGACUGAGACACGGCCCAGACUCCUACGGGAGGCAGCAGUGGGGAAUAUUGCACAAUGGGGGAAACCCUGAUGCAGCGACGCCGCGUGGAGGAAGAAGGUCUUCGGAUUGUAAACUCCUGUUGUUGAGGAAGAUAAUGACGGUACUCAACAAGGAAGUGACGGCUAACUACGUGCCAGCAGCCGCGGUAAAACGUAGGUCACAAGCGUUGUCCGGAAUUACUGGGUGUAAAGGGAGCGCAGGCGGGAGAACAAGUUGGAAGUGAAAUCCAUGGGCUCAACCCAUGAACUGCUUUCAAAACUGUUUUUCUUGAGUAGUGCAGAGGUAGGCGGAAUUCCCGGUGUAGCGGUGGAAUGCGUAGAUAUCGGGAGGAACACCAGUGGCGAAGGCGGCCUACUGGGCACCAACUGACGCUGAGGCUCGAAAGUGUGGGUAGCAAACAGGAUUAGAUACCCUGGUAGUCCACACCGUAAACGAUGAUUACUAGGUGUUGGAGGAUUGACCCCUUCAGUGCCGCAGUUAACACAAUAAGUAAUCCACCUGGGGAGUACGACCGCAAGGUUGAAACUCAAAGGAAUUGACGGGGGCCCGCACAAGCAGUGGAGUAUGUGGUUUAAUUCGACGCAACGCGAAGAACCUUACCAAGUCUUGACAU
rnacentral:rRNA from 1 species